rnacentral:lncRNA from 1 species
UGACUGUAGAUAUCUGUUAGGGCCACUAUGGGUGGUACGGUCGUUGUCAUAGAUCGUACCAUGGUUUGGCUAGUCUUUAAUGGGCCUGAGCAAAUUACCGUAUAUGUAACUAAUCUGGUCAUUCCACUUGGGUAGUUAGAAAUCUUUAUCUACCCUCGAAGAUGAAAGUUAUAACAACUUCAUGAAGCAUGACACGAAAAUAUGAGAAUUUCAUGAUUUAUUUGAUUUUCUCUACUAUCUGGCAUGAUGUAUUAACAUAUCGUUU